GCCCCCUUCCACGCUGUGGAAGGUUUGUUCUUUCCCUCUUUGCAAUAAAUCUUGCUACUGCUCACUCUUUGGGUCCACACUGCUUUUAUGAGCUGUAACACUCACCACGAAGGUCUGCAGCUUCACUCCUGAAGCCAGCGAGACCAGGAGCCCACCGGGAGGAACGAACAACUCCAGACGCGCCACCUUAAGAGCUGUAACACUCACUGCGAGGGUCCGCGACUUCAUUCUUGAAGUCAGUGAGACCAAGAAUCCACCCAUUCCGGACACACUAGAAGAUCCAAGACUGAGAGUGCCACCAAUGAGAGUUCCCUUUCUGGCUUGCCAAUGGCUGCCUUUUUGCUAUGCCUUCUCCUGGCUUUUCCUUAGUACGCAUGUGAAGAAUGAGAGCCAGGCUCAGCGGCUCACCCCUGUACAGGAGGCCGAGAAAGAAGAAUCGCUUGAACCCAGGAGGCGGAGACUGAAGUGAGCCAAGAUCACUGGUUGCACUCCAUCUAGCCUGAGCAACAAAGUGAGACUGCAUUUCCAGAAAAACAAAUAAAUAAAAAGACCUUAUGUAACAAAUAACCUCCCUAAAGACUCUAUCUGUAAAUUUAGUCACAUUGGGGGUUAACAUUCAACACAUAAAUUUUAUAGAACACAAAUCAGUCCAUAGCACAUGCAUAAUACAU
rnacentral:lncRNA from 1 species